UACGGAGGGGGCUAGCGUUGUUCGGAAUUACUGGGCGUAAAGCGUGCGCAGGCGGUCUAUUAAGACAGGUGUGAAAUCCCCGGGCUUAACCUGGGAACUGCGCUUGUAACUGAUAGGCUUGAGUGUGGCAGGAGGGGGGUGGAAUUCCAGGUGUAGCAGUGAAAUGCGUAGAUAUCUGGAGGAACACCGAUGGCGAAGGCAGCCCCCUGGGCUAACACUGACGCUCAUGCACGAAAGGCGUGGGGAGC
rnacentral:rRNA from 1 species